rnacentral:rRNA from 1 species
GACGAACGCUGGCGGCGUGCCUAAUACAUGCAAGUAGAACGCUGAAGGAGGAGCUUGCUUCUCUGGAUGAGUUGCGAACGGGUGAGUAACGCGUAGGUAACCUGCCUGGUAGCGGGGGAUAACUAUUGGAAACGAUAGCUAAUACCGCAUAAGAGUAGAUGUUGCAUGACAUUUUCUUAAAAGGUGCAAUUGCAUCACUACCAGAUGGACCUGCGUUGUAUUAGCUAGUUGGUGGGGUAACGGCUCACCAAGGCGACGAUACAUAGCCGACCUGAGAGGGGGAUCGGCCACACUGGGACCGAGACACGGCCCAGACUCCUACGGGAGGGAGCAGUAGGGAAACAUCGGAAAUGGACGGAAGGCUGACCGAGCAACGGCGCGGGAGGGAAGAAGGUUCUCGGAUCGGAAAGGUCGGUUGUAAGAGAAGAAAGAGUGUGAGAGUGGAAAGUUCACAAUGUGACGGUAUCUUAACAGAAAGGGACGGCUAACUACGUG